GUGCUCUCUUUAGUAGCAUGUAUGUUUUACUUUGGAAGGAUACAGAAGUUACCAUGGCCCUUGCCCAAGGAUGACACAAAGAUACAUGAAACAUUCCAUAUUUAA
ensembl:snRNA LOC120095709 U6 spliceosomal RNA